rnacentral:rRNA from 1 species
UACGUAGGGUGCAAGCGUUGUCCGGAAUUAUUGGGCGUAAAGAGCUCGUAGGCGGUUUGUUGCGUCGGCUGUGAAAUCCCGAGGCUCAACCCUCGGGUCUGCAGUCGAUACGAGCAAACUAGAGUGUUGCAGGGGAGACUGGAAUUCCUGGUGUAGCGGUGAAAUGCGCAGAUAUCAGGAAGAACACCAAUGGCGAAAGCAGCUCUCUGGGACGGUACUGACGCUGAGACGCGAAAGCGUGGGGAGCGAACAGG